UACGUAGGGUGCAAGCGUUGUCCGGAAUUAUUGGGCGUAAAGAGCUCGUAGGCGGUCUGUUACGUCGGCUGUGAAAACCUGGGGCUCAACCCCGGGCCUGCAGCCGAUACGGGCAGACUAGAAUUCGGUAGGGGAGACUGGAAUUCCUGGUGUAGCGGUGAAAUGCGCAGAUAUCAGGAGGAACACCGGUGGCGAAGGCGGGUCUCUGGGCCGAUAUUGACGCUGAGGAGCGAAAGCGUGGGGAGCGAACGGG
rnacentral:rRNA from 1 species